CCUUCCAAGGAAAAGGAUUUGGAAGCUACCUCAUGGAGAUUGUAAACAAAAUGGCCGUAUCAGAAAACGUUUACGAUCUAACAGUGGAAGAGCCAUCCGAAAAGUUCCAGCACAUCCGCACUUGCAUAGACAUAAACCGCUUGCUCGCUUUCGAUCCAAUCAAACCGGCCAUCGAUUCAGCUGUUGAGACUCUCACAAAAGGAAAGCUAUCGAAGAAAGCUCAGAUACCUCGCUUCACUCCACCUUCGGAUGCCGUCGAGAAGGUCCGUGAAGCUCUGAAGAUCAACAAGAAACAGUUCCUCAAAUGCUGGGAGAUCUUGAUAUAUCUCGCGCUUGAUCCUAUCGACAAAUACAUGGAGGAUUACGCAUGUGUCAUCACGAACCAUGUGAGAAUCGAUAUUCUUGGAAAAGAUAUAGAGGCUCCAAAGAAGCAGGUGGUGGAUGUUCCAACGACGUUCGAAGCUGAAGCAUCGUUUGUGGUUUUCAAGUGUGUGAAUGGAGAAGAAGCUAAUAACAGCAAUGUUCAAGUGGAUGAAAACAAACCGGAUCAAGAGCAGCAGCUGAAGCAAUUGGUUGAAGAAAGGAUUCGUGAGAUCAAGUUGGUUGCUGAGAAAGUCUCUAGAAAAUGAGAAUCUGAGUUGAAUAAAAACUUUGAGAGAGAUAUUUAUCAGAAGCUUUUUUGUUGAGUGUUCAAACUCUGUGGUCUUUAAAAAGACAAAUCUGUUUGUAUUCUCUUUGUACCGGUUUGUUACGGAGGUUUGAGUAAACAGUGUAGUUCCGGUUUAGCGGUUUCGUUCGGUUAUGCAACUAUUAGCACAAUUUACAUUCAUACCCGUAGUAAAUGUUUGAGGGCAAUUUCUUAAGUUUUCCUGUAGUGUAGCUGUUGAGUUACGUGCUGGGCCUUUAAUGGGCUCAAAACUUCUAAGGGCGUGAGAGGUUAAUGCUACAUGCUAACUAUAAUGGCACACACACUCAGCCCACUAAAGCCCAUAUAAAUCAUCUAGGUUUAGUUCAGUGUAGCAUAUAAAAUGCUUACUUCUCCCCCUUCUACGCCUUUCUGUCUGUCGACGUUCUUCAAGCCGCAAAGGUACUCUCUCUCGAGCUCAAUUCUUAGUUCUAUGAUCGUUAUAAUCUAGCAGUUUACAGAUCUGUUUAGUUUCCCGAUAAGUGAAUCUACUUAUAAGUGGUAUUUGAUAGGUAAGAGUUUGAAGAAGUACAAACACAGACGAAAGAGAAAAUGUCUGAGAAAAAGGGAAGGAAAGAGGAAGUGGUGACCAGAGAGUACACCAUCAACCUCCACAGACGCCUUCAUAGCUGGUUAGCUUUCUUAAAAACCUUAAUCUCUUCUACGACUGUUCAUGUUGUAGCUGCCUGAUUGUUCAAGUACAUAGUGUUUGUAAUGUGAUCGUCUCUUCCUGCCAUAUUAUAGUUAGGAAUCUUCUUGGACUUCUUGUGGGUUAUUUAAUUAGUGUCUAAAGUUUUAUCCUUUUCUAAAUGUAAAUCAUAUGUUAGGCCUUAAAAAUAAAUCUUUUUCAAAUUCAUUACAUUCAUAAAAAAUGUUGUUUAUGAUAUGGUGAAAAUUAGUAGCAAGCUUCUUUGGCUUACUUUUCGAAACUCAGUUUUGCAAUUGAAUUCACAUUGAAAUGUUGUUUAUAAUAAUCAUAUUCCAUGUGUUCAAUCUUGUUUCAGCUCGCUAUUACUGUUUUGGUGUUUCUUGAAGCAUAAUAAGUAUAACAAACACUGAAUCUUGUUCUGGUUCGGAUUCAAUUUAACCAAAUAUGAUAGUGUUGAAAUGAAAAUGUGAAUUUCAUUUUAAGAUUAGGUUUUAUUUAUCUGCUGAUUGUUUUCUUGAGAUUUAAGGUUUCCUGCUAAUACAUAAUUAAUUUUGUAACAGCACCUUUAAGAAGAAGGCACCAAAGGCCAUUAAGGAGAUCAGGAAGUUUGCAGAGAAAGCCAUGGGGACAAAGGACGUUAGAGUAGACGUGAAGUUGAACAAGCAGAUAUGGAGCAGAGGUAUCAGAGGUCCCCCGAGGAGGAUUAGGGUCCGUGUUGCACGUAAGAGAAAUGACGAUGAAGACGCAAAGGAAGAGUUUUUCUCGCUUGUCACUGUUGCUGAAAUCCCUGCCGAAGGACUCAGUGGACUCGGCACUAAGGUCAUCGAUGAGGAGGAUUGAGAGGAGAGGACUAGUCUGUCACUUAGACAAGUUUUGGUGUUUUUCUUUUAAUUUCUCGUUUUUUUUCAUUCAACAAGUCACAGAUGCAGUUUAUUGGAAAGACUCAUUUUCUAGAUCUUACGAUGAAUCUUUUUAUCUUCUGGAUUUUUUUCUUGAAAUCUCACAUUUUUAAGACGGUCCUAGUGAUAAUCAAGGUGAACCUUAGUUGUCUAUGCAAUCAAUUGAACCUAACAUUUCGUUAAACAUAUAAAUGUCAAAAAAAAAAAACAUAUAAAUGUCAAAUGAAAUAAACUUUAUGUAAUUCAAGAUACGUUCAUAGACAAGUCCGAAUCAAAAAAAUGUUUUCACUUUUCCGUAAUAAAGGAAAACAGAAGGACUCGAAAAUCAGUUCCAUGUGAUGUCAGCGUACCUUUUGAACGAAGACAUCCAUCACGCCAGGCCAGCUCUAGUUCGUUUCGCGUAUAAAAAGAAAAAGACGUCGACAGCAGGAUUCGAACCUGCGCGGGCAAAGCCCAAUUGAUUUCGAGUCAAUCUCCUUAACCACUCGGACAUAUCGACUUUUUGUAUGAUUCUCUCCUUUGACUACCUAUGAUAGUAUUGACCACAUCUGACGCUUCAAAUUAUAGAAAACCAAAAUUCUAUAAAGGCCACAACAUUUGUUUCAACUUUUCUAAGUGAUAAUAUUAUGUAAUAUGUGUUUAUGUGGCUAUCGGUCAAAAAGCUUCUUCCGCCCCCCGGUCUUGAAAUAUAAUUAAGUACUUACAUUUUUCCGGUUCGUGAAACUUAAUUUCUCCAGAUAACCGAACAAAACCAGUUCCAUGUCAUCGUAAAAUAUCCAAAUCGUUCAUUAAGCAACGUAUAAUGUAAAAUUAACCGGAACUGGUUCACAAAACCAGACCGAGCAGCAACAUAUAUAUAAAAAACAUAAAAAUGAGUUUUGUGCAAAGGUAAUCUUCUUAAAGGUCAGCUCUUCCAGGAUAGCGAGGGAAGGGAAUAACGUCUCUGAUGUUGUCCAUUCCUGUCGCAAACAGAACCAUACGCUCGAACCCAAGUCCGAACCCUGAAUGCUUCGCUGUUCCGUAACGUCUCAAGUCCAAGUACCACUCGUAUGGCUCCACUGGUAGUCCCAUCUCCUCAAUUCUGUUCAUACCAACAAAAAAAAAACACAAUCAAAGAAACAUCCAACAUUAAACAAAUUAAUUUCACUUUCACCAACCUUUCCAUGAUAACGUCAAUCCUUUCUUCCCUUUGGCUUCCACCAAUGAGUUCUCCAACCUAAUUAAAAAAGACGCCAUCAAUGUAUACUCUUCCAUGAUUAAAUGAUUCAACUUUACCUUUGGAACGAGGACAUCCAUGGCAGCAACGGUCUUCCCAUCAUCAUUAAGCCUCAUGUAGAAAGCCUUGAUUCCUUUCGGGUAGUUGUAAACAAUCAGAGGCUUCUGAAACACAACCUCUGUCAAGUACCUAUAAGAUAUGAGACAAGACAACAUUAGUAACGUUUUUUCUUGCAUUUUAAGUUGAAAAAUAGUUUUUUAACCUUUCGUGCUCAGAUGCUAAGUCGAUCCCCCACUCCACUGGGUUAACAAACUCCUUCCCUUUCCCCACAGCUUCCUCAAGCAGCUCUAUCGCUUUGGUGUACGUUAACCUACCAAACGGAGUCGACGCAACCAGCUUCAGCCUAUCGAUACACCGGCCAUUAGCUCCAUGUCAUCGUACCGCUUCUCGAGCAGCCACUUGCACAUGUACCUCACGUACGCCUCCGCGCAGUUCAUAUCGUCCUCUAGAUCGGCGAAAGCUAACUCAGGCUCCACCAUCCAGAACUCGGCGAGAUGUCUCGACGUGUGAGAGUUCUCCGCUCGAAAAGUAGGACCGAACGUGUACACGUCGCUCAGACCGCAAGCGUAGGUUUCCACUUGUAAUUGACCUGAGACCGUCAAGAAAGCUUGACGGCCGAAGAAAUCUUGAGUAUAAUCAAUCUUUCCAUCGAGUUUAGGCAAUCCAGGUUUGAGCCUUGACCUCUCUUCGGUCCUGGAUAAGCUCGCUUUUGCUUCGUUGAGUUCAGCAACGGAGGCUGUGAUCGUUUCCUUGCUUGCUUUAGCGGAUUUGAGCUGCGCUACGGCUUCGCCUCUCGCCUUGACGAUGAGUCUGGCGGCUUCGACGUCGGCCUCGGUGGGUGGAGGGUUUUCGAUGAGGUCUCUCUCCAGCUUCUCGGUGUGGCUGAUGAGAGUUGUUACUUGGAACAUCUCUCCAGCUCCUUCGCAGUCGCUUGUUGUGAUGAUUGGGGUUUGAAUGUAGAGGAAACCUUCUUCGUCGAAGAAUGUGUGUGUGGCUAUAGCGAGUGCGUGUCGGAUUCUUGCAAUUGCUGAGAUCUGAAAAACACAGGGAAACAAAAAACAGGACAAUUCACUUAAACCUAACUUUCUGAUCAAGUAAUCAUUUUUCGAAUAAGGCUGUAAAUGUAACCAUCGUCACUCAACCGUAAAGACGAUUAAGAGAUCUGAAACCACAAGGAAGCAAAAACAGGAGACUCUACUUAAACCUAACUGAAAUCAAAUAACUUUCUGAUCAAGUAAUCAUUUUAGACUAAGGAUGCAAAGAAUCUGUAAUCAUCAAUGAAACUGAGGCCAACAAAGACAGACACUCCACUCAAACCUAAUUGAAAUCAAAUAACUUUCUGAUCAAGUAAUCAUUUUCCACUAAGGCUGCAAAGAAUAGGUAAUCAUGAGCGUCACUGAGGCUAGCAAAAACAGGACACACCGCUCAAACCUAAUACUAUAAUCAAAUAACUUUCUGAUCAAGUAAUAGUUUUUUUCGAUUAGGGCUGUAAAUGAAUCUCUAGUAAUCGUCACUGAGGCUACGAAAGCUAGAAGAAUCUCAAUAACUAAACCCUAAACCCAUGAACACUCCACUCAACUCAAACCUAACUUUCUGAUCAAGAAAUCAUUUUUUGAUUAGAUCUGUACAUAAUCUCAAUAACUAAACCAAUCCCAUAACAUAUUCGAACAAAGUAAGUGAUCUUUAUUACCGAAUUGGUCCUAGAACGAAGAUGAGGAAACUCUCUCAACCUCUCAAGAGUCAGCUUCGUCUUAGGAAUCGGGUAAGUAGCAGUAUCAACCGUCCCCACAUCAAUCACCUCCACAACACUAAGCUCAACCUUCUGCUUCGUCCCUUUACCUUCGGGAGGAAUCUUCAAGCACCCAUCGACGGUCACGCAAGUCCCCGUCGCAACCAGCUUGGUGAGAUCUGAAACCGAAGCGUCCACCAUAACCUGAAGAUUCGCAGGGCACGAUCCGUCGUUAACCUCGAGGAAAGCGAAAGCGCCUUUCCCUUGCUCCCUCCCCGUUUUGACCCACCCGCUGAUUCGGACCUUUUGACCCGCGAGUCCGGCUCCGCCGUCGGGUCGGCCCAGAAUCGAGCGGAUGCGGACUCGGUCUGAGAACCGCGCUUUUUGCACUGUUGAAGAUGAGAUUCCAUCGCUGGAUAUGGAUACGGCGGGUACUUGAUGUGCCGGUGGUGGAACCUCGUCGGCCAUGAGUUUGGGGGCGCUGGAGACAGAACCCUAGAACAGCUAAGCAAGAACAUAACGUGAAGGGGUAUGAUUGGAAAUUAACACCCCGCGGAUUCUAGUGGUUGUGGUUUGUAAUUUCGUAUCAUAAGAUUCUUAAACAAUUAGUUUACUAAUCUUUCCACCUCCAUAUAAAAUAUUCGUAAGAUAAUCAAAUUACUAUAGCUGGUUAAUGUUUCGUUUUUUUUUAAUAAAUUCUUGUAUUUGUUUAUGAUUUGUAUAUUAUAUAAAUAAAUAAAAUAUGAUGUUGAGUUCUAUUAUAUUAUCUUCGGUGUUCAAAAAAGAAGAAGAUAAUAUGAUUUCAAAUAUGAUAGUUAGGUCGGUAACAUUGUAGAACAAUUGUUUAAAAUAUUUUAAGUUGGUUAGCAAUUUUCACACCUGCACAAAAAAAAAAUGAAGAGAAUCAAACAACUCGAAUAAACAAAAGACUCACCCAAUAUCUAACGUACCUGGCCAUCGUGACCACGUAACGUUGUAUUCAAUUAUGAUGCAUCUUAUUUUUUUCCCUCAGGAUAAUAAAAUUUAAGAAGUUUCAAGGUGUAUUGGGACGUCGUCAAAAGUCAACCACAUGCCUCCAUAGGACUUCCAAAAUAACAGAAUAAUUUCCCAGGCAUCACGGUCAUCGUAUCAGUAAGAGAACGAUAUUAAUUCUCCCUUAUCAUUUAUUAGAAACAUUUUUGUUGUCAUCUUCUUCUUGACUUUUCCAACCAAAAUACAUCCUCCCGUCUGUUCUUUUUUUUUCUGGUCAACACACUCUUGAUCAUUUAUGGGUGAAACAAGAUCCAUGAUCACGUUCUUCUUGUUGGUGACCUUCCUACAGAUCAUCUUCCUAGCUCACGGAGCAGCAGGAGAGACGACCACAGAGUUCAUUUUUCAAGGCUUUAAAGUAAACCAAUCAAAGCUUCAAUUAGAAGAAGAUGCAACCAUCACGCCCAACGGACUACUAAGGCUAACCAAUCGAAACUCAGACCGCGCGGGAACGGCUUUUUACAACAAACCGGUUAGACUGCUCGACAAUAACUCCACGGUUCGUUCUUUUAGCACUUCCUUCAUCUUUGUCAUCAUCCCUUCAAGCUCAAACAACGGAGGUUUCGGGUUUACAUUCACACUAUCCCCAACCCCAAACCGUCCAGACGCGGAGACCGCGCAGUACUUGGGUCUUCUCAACGAAGACGACGACGGUGAUCCGGAUAAUCACGUAUUCGCAGUGGAGUUCGACACGGUUCAAGGAUACAAAGACAGCACAGAUCGAAUAGGCAACCACAUCGGUCUAAAUUUCAACAGUCUCUCUUCACAAAUUGUGGGCUUUACUGCUAUUUAUAAGUUCUAUCGUUACCCCGACAGGUUAAGGAUGCGACUCAGCCAGGUAUAAAAAUAUAUACCUCAAUGAUCUCAGUUCUUUUUGCAUUCUUUUGAGUUGACUUGUUGCGCUGAUUCUUCGUUUUGAUUCCAGAUCCUGGUCCUGCCUUCCUUCCAAGGAAAAGGAUUUGGAAGCUACCUCAUGGAGAUUGUAAACAAAAUGGCCGUAUCAGAAAACGUUUACGAUCUAACAGUGGAAGAGCCAUCCGAAAAGUUCCAGCACAUCCGCACUUGCAUAGACAUAAACCGCUUGCUCGCUUUCGAUCCAAUCAAACCGGCCAUCGAUUCAGCUGUUGAGACUCUCACAAAAGGAAAGCUAUCGAAGAAAGCUCAGAUACCUCGCUUCACUCCACCUUCGGAUGCCGUCGAGAAGGUCCGUGAAGCUCUGAAGAUCAACAAGAAACAGUUCCUCAAAUGCUGGGAGAUCUUGAUAUAUCUCGCGCUUGAUCCUAUCGACAAAUACAUGGAGGAUUACGCAUGUGUCAUCACGAACCAUGUGAGAAUCGAUAUUCUUGGAAAAGAUAUAGAGGCUCCAAAGAAGCAGGUGGUGGAUGUUCCAACGACGUUCGAAGCUGAAGCAUCGUUUGUGGUUUUCAAGUGUGUGAAUGGAGAAGAAGCUAAUAACAGCAAUGUUCAAGUGGAUGAAAACAAACCGGAUCAAGAGCAGCAGCUGAAGCAAUUGGUUGAAGAAAGGAUUCGUGAGAUCAAGUUGGUUGCUGAGAAAGUCUCUAGAAAAUGAGAAUCUGAGUUGAAUAAAAACUUUGAGAGAGAUAUUUAUCAGAAGCUUUUUUGUUGAGUGUUCAAACUCUGUGGUCUUUAAAAAGACAAAUCUGUUUGUAUUCUCUUUGUACCGGUUUGUUACGGAGGUUUGAGUAAACAGUGUAGUUCCGGUUUAGCGGUUUCGUUCGGUUAUGCAACUAUUAGCACAAUUUACAUUCAUACCCGUAGUAAAUGUUUGAGGGCAAUUUCUUAAGUUUUCCUGUAGUGUAGCUGUUGAGUUACGUGCUGGGCCUUUAAUGGGCUCAAAACUUCUAAGGGCGUGAGAGGUUAAUGCUACAUGCUAACUAUAAUGGCACACACACUCAGCCCACUAAAGCCCAUAUAAAUCAUCUAGGUUUAGUUCAGUGUAGCAUAUAAAAUGCUUACUUCUCCCCCUUCUACGCCUUUCUGUCUGUCGACGUUCUUCAAGCCGCAAAGGUACUCUCUCUCGAGCUCAAUUCUUAGUUCUAUGAUCGUUAUAAUCUAGCAGUUUACAGAUCUGUUUAGUUUCCCGAUAAGUGAAUCUACUUAUAAGUGGUAUUUGAUAGGUAAGAGUUUGAAGAAGUACAAACACAGACGAAAGAGAAAAUGUCUGAGAAAAAGGGAAGGAAAGAGGAAGUGGUGACCAGAGAGUACACCAUCAACCUCCACAGACGCCUUCAUAGCUGGUUAGCUUUCUUAAAAACCUUAAUCUCUUCUACGACUGUUCAUGUUGUAGCUGCCUGAUUGUUCAAGUACAUAGUGUUUGUAAUGUGAUCGUCUCUUCCUGCCAUAUUAUAGUUAGGAAUCUUCUUGGACUUCUUGUGGGUUAUUUAAUUAGUGUCUAAAGUUUUAUCCUUUUCUAAAUGUAAAUCAUAUGUUAGGCCUUAAAAAUAAAUCUUUUUCAAAUUCAUUACAUUCAUAAAAAAUGUUGUUUAUGAUAUGGUGAAAAUUAGUAGCAAGCUUCUUUGGCUUACUUUUCGAAACUCAGUUUUGCAAUUGAAUUCACAUUGAAAUGUUGUUUAUAAUAAUCAUAUUCCAUGUGUUCAAUCUUGUUUCAGCUCGCUAUUACUGUUUUGGUGUUUCUUGAAGCAUAAUAAGUAUAACAAACACUGAAUCUUGUUCUGGUUCGGAUUCAAUUUAACCAAAUAUGAUAGUGUUGAAAUGAAAAUGUGAAUUUCAUUUUAAGAUUAGGUUUUAUUUAUCUGCUGAUUGUUUUCUUGAGAUUUAAGGUUUCCUGCUAAUACAUAAUUAAUUUUGUAACAGCACCUUUAAGAAGAAGGCACCAAAGGCCAUUAAGGAGAUCAGGAAGUUUGCAGAGAAAGCCAUGGGGACAAAGGACGUUAGAGUAGACGUGAAGUUGAACAAGCAGAUAUGGAGCAGAGGUAUCAGAGGUCCCCCGAGGAGGAUUAGGGUCCGUGUUGCACGUAAGAGAAAUGACGAUGAAGACGCAAAGGAAGAGUUUUUCUCGCUUGUCACUGUUGCUGAAAUCCCUGCCGAAGGACUCAGUGGACUCGGCACUAAGGUCAUCGAUGAGGAGGAUUGAGAGGAGAGGACUAGUCUGUCACUUAGACAAGUUUUGGUGUUUUUCUUUUAAUUUCUCGUUUUUUUUCAUUCAACAAGUCACAGAUGCAGUUUAUUGGAAAGACUCAUUUUCUAGAUCUUACGAUGAAUCUUUUUAUCUUCUGGAUUUUUUUCUUGAAAUCUCACAUUUUUAAGACGGUCCUAGUGAUAAUCAAGGUGAACCUUAGUUGUCUAUGCAAUCAAUUGAACCUAACAUUUCGUUAAACAUAUAAAUGUCAAAAAAAAAAAACAUAUAAAUGUCAAAUGAAAUAAACUUUAUGUAAUUCAAGAUACGUUCAUAGACAAGUCCGAAUCAAAAAAAUGUUUUCACUUUUCCGUAAUAAAGGAAAACAGAAGGACUCGAAAAUCAGUUCCAUGUGAUGUCAGCGUACCUUUUGAACGAAGACAUCCAUCACGCCAGGCCAGCUCUAGUUCGUUUCGCGUAUAAAAAGAAAAAGACGUCGACAGCAGGAUUCGAACCUGCGCGGGCAAAGCCCAAUUGAUUUCGAGUCAAUCUCCUUAACCACUCGGACAUAUCGACUUUUUGUAUGAUUCUCUCCUUUGACUACCUAUGAUAGUAUUGACCACAUCUGACGCUUCAAAUUAUAGAAAACCAAAAUUCUAUAAAGGCCACAACAUUUGUUUCAACUUUUCUAAGUGAUAAUAUUAUGUAAUAUGUGUUUAUGUGGCUAUCGGUCAAAAAGCUUCUUCCGCCCCCCGGUCUUGAAAUAUAAUUAAGUACUUACAUUUUUCCGGUUCGUGAAACUUAAUUUCUCCAGAUAACCGAACAAAACCAGUUCCAUGUCAUCGUAAAAUAUCCAAAUCGUUCAUUAAGCAACGUAUAAUGUAAAAUUAACCGGAACUGGUUCACAAAACCAGACCGAGCAGCAACAUAUAUAUAAAAAACAUAAAAAUGAGUUUUGUGCAAAGGUAAUCUUCUUAAAGGUCAGCUCUUCCAGGAUAGCGAGGGAAGGGAAUAACGUCUCUGAUGUUGUCCAUUCCUGUCGCAAACAGAACCAUACGCUCGAACCCAAGUCCGAACCCUGAAUGCUUCGCUGUUCCGUAACGUCUCAAGUCCAAGUACCACUCGUAUGGCUCCACUGGUAGUCCCAUCUCCUCAAUUCUGUUCAUACCAACAAAAAAAAAACACAAUCAAAGAAACAUCCAACAUUAAACAAAUUAAUUUCACUUUCACCAACCUUUCCAUGAUAACGUCAAUCCUUUCUUCCCUUUGGCUUCCACCAAUGAGUUCUCCAACCUAAUUAAAAAAGACGCCAUCAAUGUAUACUCUUCCAUGAUUAAAUGAUUCAACUUUACCUUUGGAACGAGGACAUCCAUGGCAGCAACGGUCUUCCCAUCAUCAUUAAGCCUCAUGUAGAAAGCCUUGAUUCCUUUCGGGUAGUUGUAAACAAUCAGAGGCUUCUGAAACACAACCUCUGUCAAGUACCUAUAAGAUAUGAGACAAGACAACAUUAGUAACGUUUUUUCUUGCAUUUUAAGUUGAAAAAUAGUUUUUUAACCUUUCGUGCUCAGAUGCUAAGUCGAUCCCCCACUCCACUGGGUUAACAAACUCCUUCCCUUUCCCCACAGCUUCCUCAAGCAGCUCUAUCGCUUUGGUGUACGUUAACCUACCAAACGGAGUCGACGCAACCAGCUUCAGCCUAUCGAUACACCGGCCAUUAGCUCCAUGUCAUCGUACCGCUUCUCGAGCAGCCACUUGCACAUGUACCUCACGUACGCCUCCGCGCAGUUCAUAUCGUCCUCUAGAUCGGCGAAAGCUAACUCAGGCUCCACCAUCCAGAAUUCAGCGAGAUGCCUCGAGGUGUGAGAGUUCUCUGCUCGAAAAGUAGGACCAAAAGUGUACACGUCGCUCAGACCGCACGCGUAGGUUUCCACUUGUAACUGACCUGAGACCGUUAAGAAAGCUUGGCGGCCGAAGAAGUCUUGAGUGUAAUCAAUCUUUCCAUCGAGUUUAGGUAGUCCGGGUUUGAGCUUUGACCUCUCUUCGGUUCUGGAUAAGCUCGCUUUUGCUUCGUUGAGUUCAGCAACGGAGGCGGUGAUCGUUUCCUUGCUUGCUUUAGCGGAUUUGAGGUGGGCGACGGCUUCGCCUCUCGCCUUGACGAUGAGUCUGGCGGCUUCGACGUCGGCCUCGGUGGGAGGAGGGUUUUCGAUGAGGUCUCUCUCUAGCUUCUCGGUGUGGCUGAUGAGAGUUGUUACUUGGAACAUCUCUCCAGCGCCUUCGCAGUCACUUGUUGUGAUGAUUGGGGUUUGAAUGUAGAGGAAACCUUCUUCGUCGAAGAAUGUGUGUGUGGCUAUAGCGAGAGCGUGUCGGAUUCUUGCAAUGGCUGAGAUCUGAAAAACACAGGGAAACAAAAACAGGGCAAUUAUUCAAACCUAACUUUCUGAUCAAGUAAUCAUCUUUGGUCAAGUCAGCAAAGAAACUCAGUAUCUAAAUCAAACACAGGAACAGUUUCAAUCAAAAGAAUUCUUUUUGUAUACGACAGGCGAACAUGAAUACAGGAGACUCCACUCAACCUAAUUGAAAUAAACUAACUUUCUGAUCAAUUAACCAUUCUAGACUAAGGCUGCAAAGAAUCUGUAAUCAUCAUCGUCACUGAGGCUAACAAAAACAAGACACUCCACUCCACUCAAAUCCAAUAGAGAUCAGAUAACUUUCUGCUCAAGAAAUAGCUUUUUCGAUUAGGGCUGUAACAGAAUCUGUAAUCAUCGUCACUAAAGCUAAGAAAGCUAGAAGAAUCUCAAUGACUGCAUCAAACCCAUGAACACUCGACUCCACUACACUCAAACCUAACUUUCUAAUCAAGUAAUCAUUUUUUGAUUAAGUCUCUACAUAAUCUCAAUAACUAAACCAAACCCAUAACAGAUUCAAUCAAAAGAAGUGAUCUUUAUUACCGAAUUGGUCCUAGAACGAAGAUGAGGAAACUCUCUCAACCUCUCAAGAGUCAGCUUCGUCUUCGGAAUCGGGUACGUAGCAGUAUCCACAGUCCCCACAUCAACCACCUCCACUACACUAAGCUCAACCUUCUGCUUCGUCCCUUUCCCUUCCGGAGGAAUCUUCAGACACCCAUCAACAGUCACACAAGUCCCCGUCGCAACCAGCUUGGAGAGAUCCGACACAGAGGCGUCCACCAUAACCUGAAGAUUCGCAGGGCACGAUCCAUCGUUCACCUCGAGGAAAGCGAAAGCGCCUUUCCCUUGCUCCCUUCCCGUUUUGACCCACCCGCUGAUUCGGACCUUCUGACCCGCGAGCCCGGCUCCGCCGUCGGGUCGGCCCAGGAUCGAGCGGAUGCGGACUCGGUCUGAGAACCGCGCUUUUUGCACUGUAACCUCGUCGGCCAUUUUGGUAUGAGUGGUGAUGAGUUUGGGGGCGCUGGAGACAGAACCCUAAAACAGCUAAGCAAGAACAUAACAUUUAGGGGUAUAAUUGGAAAUAUACACCCCGCAGAUUCUAGUGGUGGUGAUUUGUAAUUUCGUAGAUUCUUAAACAAUUAGCUUACGAAUCUUUCCAGCUCCAUAUAAAUAUUCGUAAAAUAAUCAAAUUGUGGGAGGAGGGUUUUCGAUGAGGUCUCUCUCUAGCUUCUCGGUGUGGCUGAUGAGAGUUGUUACUUGGAACAUCUCUCCAGCGCCUUCGCAGUCACUUGUUGUGAUGAUUGGGGUUUGAAUGUAGAGGAAACCUUCUUCGUCGAAGAAUGUGUGUGUGGCUAUAGCGAGAGCGUGUCGGAUUCUUGCAAUGGCUGAGAUCUGAAAAACACAGGGAAACAAAAACAGGGCAAUUAUUCAAACCUAACUUUCUGAUCAAGUAAUCAUCUUUGGUCAAGUCAGCAAAGAAACUCAGUAUCUAAAUCAAACACAGGAACAGUUUCAAUCAAAAGAAUUCUUUUUGUAUACGACAGGCGAACAUGAAUACAGGAGACUCCACUCAACCUAAUUGAAAUAAACUAACUUUCUGAUCAAUUAACCAUUCUAGACUAAGGCUGCAAAGAAUCUGUAAUCAUCAUCGUCACUGAGGCUAACAAAAACAAGACACUCCACUCCACUCAAAUCCAAUAGAGAUCAGAUAACUUUCUGCUCAAGAAAUAGCUUUUUCGAUUAGGGCUGUAACAGAAUCUGUAAUCAUCGUCACUAAAGCUAAGAAAGCUAGAAGAAUCUCAAUGACUGCAUCAAACCCAUGAACACUCGACUCCACUACACUCAAACCUAACUUUCUAAUCAAGUAAUCAUUUUUUGAUUAAGUCUCUACAUAAUCUCAAUAACUAAACCAAACCCAUAACAGAUUCAAUCAAAAGAAGUGAUCUUUAUUACCGAAUUGGUCCUAGAACGAAGAUGAGGAAACUCUCUCAACCUCUCAAGAGUCAGCUUCGUCUUCGGAAUCGGGUACGUAGCAGUAUCCACAGUCCCCACAUCAACCACCUCCACUACACUAAGCUCAACCUUCUGCUUCGUCCCUUUCCCUUCCGGAGGAAUCUUCAGACACCCAUCAACAGUCACACAAGUCCCCGUCGCAACCAGCUUGGAGAGAUCCGACACAGAGGCGUCCACCAUAACCUGAAGAUUCGCAGGGCACGAUCCAUCGUUCACCUCGAGGAAAGCGAAAGCGCCUUUCCCUUGCUCCCUUCCCGUUUUGACCCACCCGCUGAUUCGGACCUUCUGACCCGCGAGCCCGGCUCCGCCGUCGGGUCGGCCCAGGAUCGAGCGGAUGCGGACUCGGUCUGAGAACCGCGCUUUUUGCACUGUAACCUCGUCGGCCAUUUUGGUAUGAGUGGUGAUGAGUUUGGGGGCGCUGGAGACAGAACCCUAAAACAGCUAAGCAAGAACAUAACAUUUAGGGGUAUAAUUGGAAAUAUACACCCCGCAGAUUCUAGUGGUGGUGAUUUGUAAUUUCGUAGAUUCUUAAACAAUUAGCUUACGAAUCUUUCCAGCUCCAUAUAAAUAUUCGUAAAAUAAUCAAAUUACUAUAGUUGGUUAAUGUUUCGUUUUAAUUUUUUGCUUUUUUGAAAAAUCCUAAUUUAUUUUAUGAUUUGUAUAUUAUAAAAAUAAAUAAAUUAUGAUGUUGAGUUAUAUUAUAUUAUCUUCAGUGUUCAAAAAAGAAGAAGAAGAUAAUAUGAUUUCAGAUAUGAUAGUUUAGGUCGGUAACAUUGUAGAACAAUUGUUUAAAAUAUUUUAAGUUGGUUAGCAAUUUUCACACCUGCACAAAAGAAAAAAAAAAAGAAUGAAGAGAAUCAAACACCUUGAAUAAACAAAAGUCUCACCCAAUAUCUAACGUACCUGGCCAUCGUGACCACGUAACGUUGUAUUCAAUUAUAAUGCAUCUUAUUUUUUUUCCCUCAGGAUAAUAAAGUUUAAGAAGGUUCAAGGUGUGUUUGGACGUCGUCAAAAGUCAACCACAUGCCUCCAUAGGACUUUCAAAAUAACAAAAUCAUUUCCCAAACAUCACGAUCAUCGUAUCAAUAAGAGAACGAUAUUAAUUGUCCCUUAUCAUUAUUAGAAACAUUUUUGUUGUCAUCUUCUUCUUUGACUUUUCUAACCAAAAUACAUCCUCCCGUCUGUUCUUUUUCUGGUCAACACACUCUUGAACAUUUAUGGGUGAAGCAAGAUCCAUGAUCGCUCUCUUCUCGUUGGUGAUCUUACUACAGAUCAUCGUCCUAGCUCACAGAGCAACAUCAGAGACGAAUACAGAGUUCAUUUUUCAAGGCUUUAAAGUAAACCAAUCAAAACUUCAAUUAGAAGAAGAUGCAACCAUCACGCCCAACGGACUACUAAGGCUCACCAAUCGACACUCAGACCGCGCGGGAACGGCUUUCUACAACAAACCGGUUAGACUGCUCGACAAUAACUCCACGGUUCGUUCUUUUAGCACUUCCUUCAUCUUUGUCAUCAUCCCUUCAAGCUCAAACAACGGAGGUUUCGGGUUUACAUUCACACUAUCCCCAACCCCAAACCGUCCAGACGCGGAGACCGCGCAGUACUUGGGUCUUCUCAACGAAGACGACGACGGUGAUCCGGAUAAUCACGUAUUCGCAGUGGAGUUCGACACGGUUCAAGGAUACAAAGACAGCACAGAUCGAAUAGGCAACCACAUCGGUCUAAAUUUCAACAGUCUCUCUUCACACGUCCAAGAACCCGUGGCUUACUACGACAAAGAGGGGCAUAAAGAAGAUUUUCAACUCACGAGCGGCGAGCCAAUCCAAGUCUUUAUGGAUUACCACGGACGAACCAGAACUCUUACCAUCACUGUCUACCCGACCAGACUCGGAUCUAAGCCGACAACUCCUUUGAUCUCACAAAAAGUUCCUAAACUGUUGGAGAUCGUGCAAGAAGAAAUGUUUGUCGGAUUCACGGCUGCCACAGGGGACAAAUCUAGUGCGCAUUACGUGAUGGGUUGGAGUUUCUCAACCGGUCCGGUCCCAGCAGCUACGUUGAAUCUAACGGACCUUCCUCCUCCGCCACGAAAUACGGCGAAGAAGAGAGGCUUAAACAAAGAGAUCAUCUCCCUGGUCGUGUCUUUAACUACAGUUAUAACCAUCAUGUUAGUGUUAUUGUUUAUCUUGAUGAUGUACAAAAGACGAUUACAAGAGGAGGUUCUCGAGGAUUGGGAACUCGAUCAUCCACACAGGUUUCGAUACAAAGAUCUCUACGCAGCUACGGAUGGAUUCAAGGAUAACAGAAUCAUAGGAACCGGAGGGUUCGGAACUGUUUACAAAGGAAUCAUAACCACCACGUCAUCAUCAUCUCCGUCCUCUGAUGAAAUCGCAGUGAAGAAGAUAACUCCAAACAGCAUACAAGGCGUUCGAGAGUUUGUGGCUGAGAUCGAGAGUUUAGGCCGUUUGAGGCAUAAAAAUUUAGUCAACCUACAAGGAUGGUGCAAACACGGAAACGACCUAUUGCUAAUUUACGAUUAUAUCCCUAACGGAAGCUUGGACUCGCUGUUAUACAGUAAACCGAGGCUAUGCGGCGCCGUUUUGACCUGGGACGCGCGUUUUCAAAUCGCUAAAGGAAUCGCGUCUGGGCUGCUCUACCUCCACGAGGAGUGGGAGAAGAUCGUGAUCCACAGAGACGUUAAACCGAGCAACGUCCUCAUCGACGAUCAGAUGAACCCUAGGCUCGGAGACUUCGGGCUCGCCAGGCUCUACGAGCGCGGAUCCCUCUCCCACACCACCGUCGUCGUCGGCACGAUCGGGUACAUGGCGCCGGAGCUCACGCGCAACGGAAACUCCUCCUCCGCCUCCGACGUUUUCGCGUUCGGCGUUGUGCUGCUGGAGAUCGUCUCCGGGAGGAAGCCGACGGACUCCGGGAGCUUCUUCUUGGCCGAUUGGGUUAUGGAGAUGCACGCGAGCGGGCAGGUGCUACGCGCGGUGGACUCGAGGCUCGGAUCGGGUUACGACGAGGAGGAGGCGAGGCUGGCGCUCGUGGUGGGGCUGCUGUGCUGCCACCCGAAGAGGGGGUCUCGGCCGGCGAUGAGAAUGGUGCUGAGGUACCUGAACGGGGACGAAGGUGUUCCUGAGGUUGAGGUGUACUCGCAUUCUUCAAGUAGAUACUCCCUUCCCUCCGAUUUGAAAGAAUGUUGAUUGUUUUGGAUUUUAGUUUUCUGUUUUCAAAUUUAUAUGUUAUGGAUUAAUGUAUAGCAUUUUUAACAGAUUUCUGUAAAAUACUUUUUUUCUGUUUCACUUUCAUGUAUAUUCCAGAUUUUCACAAGUAUUAAUAAAAUAUAUUAAAUUUCAGUGUUAAGUAUAUAUUUUUGUGAUUAUAUAUCCUCAGAAUUCUAAACUAACAGAAAUUUAUUAAAUGCAAUUAUUAUUUUUAUUUACAAAUGAUCAUUUAUAAUUAAUAAAAUAUGUAUUAAAAUGUAAAAGUAUAUUUUUAAAACAAUUUUUCUUCUAUGCAUUGUAAGAAGCGUAGUAUUUUUUUAACUCAUUUUGUUUAAUUCUUUAAAUUGCUAUUUUUUGCUCCCUCUGUUCAUAAAUAUAAAAUGUUUAGUUAAAACACACACAUAAAGAAAAAUUAAUUUUUGUCUAGAAAAUAACAUUAAAACUAUAAAUUAAUGAUACUCAACCAAUUACAAAAUAAAUUAUUAAAUAUGAUUGGUUGCACAGUUUUUAAUAAAGUAAAGUUACAUAGAAAAAUGAAAACUUCUUAUAUAUUAAAACAUUAAAAUUAUUUAAAACAUUCUACAUUUAGGAACGGAGGGAGUAUGUUGUUAUAGAGAGAGAGAGAGCAAUAAAUAGAACAAUAUUUCCGAAAAGUAUACACUAAUAAAUUACAUAUAUUUGAAAUUUAUUUGUUAUAAAGAAAAAGAAAAAAAUACAGUAUAGAUACUAUCAAUCUUUGUACACACAUUGGUUCUCCCUGUUCAAAAACGCGGGUACUACGGGUGAUUAGUCGGCGAGGAGGCGCUCGGCGAUGCUCGGCCUGGCGAGUUGGCAGUAGUCGGCCCAUAAAUCGACAACAACUUCUUUUUUUUUUUUUUUUUAAAUGUUUGAAUGGUUAGAAUCUUGUAUUUUGAUGUGAGAUCUAUAGGUUUUAAGUAUGAAAACAUGAAAACACACCAAAAUUUGAUGAUAUGUAUGAUUAUAAACGUUUUACUGUAAAAUUAAAAACCCUAAACAUUAUUUGGAAAAAUAAAGACGAAAUGAUGCUAGUGCCUUCUAUUUAAGGAAAAAAAAAUUAGAAAGAAGAAAAACGCGUCGCUCUAGGAUCAAACAAGGUUCUUAUGCUGAGCCGAGAUUAGUAACCUUGAAUAUUUGUCUAUUGUCAUGCAAACUAACUAAUGAUUCAUAUAUAUAUUUUUAGAAAUAAAAAUAUAUAUAAAACUAGGCUCCAAUCAAUUGUUAACUCGUUAGGUCCAUAUCGUUUGUCUGACUAGCGUUUACCGUAGUUCCGGAAAGAGCUCUGAUUAAGUGAGAUCAAGUGAAAAAGAUGCAUAGAAUACUAAAAACUAGGUUAAGAUCCGCACCUUGCGCGGAAUGAACAUUAUAUAUAAAAAUUAUUUUAUGUAUUAAAUAUUUUUACAUAUUAUAAAAUAAGAAAUAUAUAUUGAAUAAUUAAAAGUCGAUAACUAUUAGAUAUAUAAUUAAAUUGGUGUGAACAUAUAAAUCAAUUUUAUUAAUCCAAAUUCUUUUUUAUAUUUGAUAGGAUAAGUAAUUAAAUUUAAAUGAUACUAACAUACAUAGUAUAUUUUAGUAUAUUUUUAAUAUUAAUGUCUAUUAAAUGAUGAUUUCUACUCAUAUAUUUUUUUGAUCAUAUGUAUUUUUUGUAGAAAAUUUUUUAAAUUACUGAUAAAAAAAUUUUCAUUGUGGAAUUAAUAGUUUUAGUAAUUUAUAUUUUUUAAAAAUAAGUUGUCAAUGUUCGUUCAAAACUUUUAUCAAAAAAAUUGUUCAAAGUAAAUUUUGAAACUAAAAUAUUUAUGUAUUUUAUAUGGUUUAUAGUUUAAUUUAAAACAAUAUAUAUAUAUAUAUAUUAAUAUAAUUGAUUAAAUUUGACUUUUUACUUAUAUAAUUUUAUAAUCAUUUGUAUUUUUUCAUAACAAAAAUUUUAAACCAUGGAUCACAAAAUUUGAAUGUGAGGCUUUUAACAGUUUUAAUAAUUUAUAGUCGUUUUUAAAAAUUCAAAAUAUAACAUAUACAUAAAAAUCUAUCUUUAUUAUAUGGUUAUUGUGGUUGUUUAAUUUAUUUAAUAGUUUUAAAUUAAACAAAUAUGAUAGAAGAUACACUAUUUUUUUUUAUCAAAUCUUUAUUAUUCAAAAUCAUUAAUUGCCAUAUAUACUUUAGCCACAUUAGACAAUUCCGUAAAUUUUAUUUAAGGAAAUAAUAAAGUACAUUAAUAAUGAAUUUGUUUUUAGUUUAAUAAAAAAAUUAUUAUAUAAUUAGAUGAGCUAACAUAUUUCCCUAAUGUUUCUAAGAAUCAUCAUAAUGAUGACACGUGGAUACAAAAAGAAGCUGUAAUACUUCUCAAAUAAUAUAUAAGAGAUAUAUUUUAUCAUUGGGCCUUAUGCCUCCUAAAAGUAAUUUUUACUAUGGGUCUAUCUUUAUAACCUCACGUAUAUAAAAGCUCUUAAAAUGUUCUUUAUUAUAAGGCCCAAAAAAAUCUCAAAGUCAGGUAUAAAUAAAUAUUAUCAGCACCAAAAACCCUAACUCUGAGAUUACGCACUCCUUUCAGCUUAACGCAGCCGUCGGAAGAAAAAGCAGAGAAGCAAAUCAGCAGCCAUGGGUAAUCCUCCUCAUAGCUUCUAGUAUAAUUUUUGUGCUACAGCAUUUGUGAAAAUCUAAUUCGUUUUAUUUGGUGAGAUGUUUCUAUACAUUUUGCCAUUAGAUUGAACGGUUAGUGUUUGUUGAUCUCAGGAAAAGUACACGGAUCGUUGGCACGUGCCGGGAAGGUUAGAGGGCAGACACCGAAGGUAGCGAAGCAAGAUAAGAAGAAGAAGCCUAGAGGACGCGCUCACAAGCGUCUCCAGCACAAUCGCCGUUUCGUUACCGCUGGUAUUUUCUCCGAUCCUUUGCUUAUUUGAUUACGCUUUGUGCGUUUAUUGAUUACACUCUUACGUUGUUCAGUUUAAUUGAAUUGGGAUUUGGGAUUAUUAGAAAUAAUCUACAGAAAUGUAUGAACAAGCUCAAUGUUAAUAGUUCUGUUUGUUGUUUUAUAUACUUUUUUGUUUGAAAAUGUUUUAUUACAUUGAUUUAUAUGUUUGGUAAUUGAUUUUUGCAGUUGUUGGUUUCGGUAAGAAGAGAGGACCCAACUCUUCUGAGAAGUAGAGAAGAAGAUUGAUGAUAUGCAUUGAAGAUUCUCCGUUGCUCUUUUUGUAACUUAAAUCUUUCUUCUUUUGUUUUAGUAAUGUAUCUUUGGUACUUUAUAUGUUUUAAUUCCAUGCUAUGAAAUACGAUUUUAGUUUUGAAUCUGAUGAUCAACCUCCAAAACAAACCAAUCAUGUGUUUAAUUUUUUUUUUGAUCAACUGGGUUUAAUUAUUUAGAAGAUUGAUAAUUCGACAAGAGUCUUAAAUGGUUUUAUUGAAAUAUCCAAUGAAAACUAUGAAGAAAGUUGUAAUAAAACCAGACGGUGGUUUUAGAGUUCGUCUUUGGGUGAGUCGGACCCUUUAGAGGCCUUGUCUUCGAGGUAUCGUACAGCCAUCGAUGCAUGAAUUGCAGCACCGUACGGGAGAGCAUCUUCGUUGACUGUAUAGAGCGAUGAGUGAGGAGACGCAUAUCUUUUCGUCUCAUCUUGCAUUCCAAGGAAAGAGAAGUGGCCAGGGAUUGCUUCUGCAAAGUAGGAGAAGUCUUCGCCUCCCAUUAUAGGCGAUACUUCCACAAAGGAGUCUUCACCCAACAAAUCUCUGACCAGGUUCUUGAACUGCUUGUAUAAAUUCAUAUUGUUUACGGUUGGUGGGACAGGUUCUUUACCGUUUGGUUUUAGAUUCACGGAUGCAUUGCACCGGUUAACUGUUGCUUGCUUGGUAAUAACCUAGAAUCACAAGAUGAAACCGGGGUUUGGUUAAACUGGAAAAUCUAACAAAUGUGCAAUGAAUCUUGAAUCAAAAUCACCUCUUUGAUUCUUUCUUGAAACUGCGAAAAACCACUAAAGGCUCGGAGAGUUCCUCCUAUAGUGAUUGAAUCAGGGAUGACAUUGAAGGCAUUGCCUCCAUGAAGCUUAGAAACUGUAACCACCUACAGAAACAAUGAGUUGUGUUGGAAGAAAAGCCAAGAGCAAGUAGAUGAGUUCUAGAAACAAAAAGAAAUGGAACCUUUGAAUCCAAAGGGUCGGUUUCACGUGAAACCAGAUGUUGAAGACUUAGGACAACACUUGAAGCUGCAAUAACUGGGUCUAUGGUAUGAUGGGGGAUGGCGGCAUGACCACCUUUACCAGUUAUUACAGCCUCGAAGAAUCCAGAUCCAGCUAGUAAGGAACCUGCACGUGAAGCAGUUUUGCCUAAGGGAACCUGGUUGGUAAGAUGAAUCCCGAAAAUGGCUUCAACAUGCUUCAACGCUCCUGCUUCUAUCAUCUUCUUUGCUCCGGCAAAAACUUCUUCAGCUGGCUGGAAGAUAAGCACCACAGUUCCCUAACAACAAAACAAAGUAUUGAUUAGGUUAGUUUUACUGAUGAAAGCAACAUGCUAACGUAGAAUGCGUUUUAUAAAACCUGCAAAUCUUGGUGAUGUUCUUUAAGAAUUUUGGCAGCACCAAGAAGCAUAGCGACAUGACCAUCGUGUCCACAAGCAUGCAUUUUACCAGGAACUUUGCUCUUGUGCUCCCAUUCAACAUCUUCCUGAUUUCGAGAAUCAAAUCAGAUUUUAUAUUACAGCUCUGAUCUUGAUUGGGACAUUUUACCAGAUAUCCGAAGAAUCAAACCAAACUAAAAAUCGGAAAUUGGACAAUACCAUAAACAUCAAAAAGGUAAAAAAAAUCGGUUAUAUCCGAACCUGAUUUGAUUGAAUGGAUAUCUAAAUAUAUAAAAGAUAUUUUUUAACGUAAUAAUAUAAAUUAUAUUUAAAUUGAAAAUGACCAUCUAUAAUAAAUAUAAUCCAUAAAUUUACGAUAAAAAUAAUUGAAAAACCAAACUCUCGAAAUUAUCAAAAUUAUUCAAAAUUAUCUGAAUAUAUUAUUUAAAACAUAUAAAUUAUCUGAAUUAUCUAAUAUUUUUAUUUGAACUACCAAUCUUUAUGUAUUUAAUAUCUGAUGUUUUACUCAUUUUUUCUAGAUAUUAUAUCCGAUUGAUUGAAUGGGUAUCCAAAUAUAUAAAAAUAUGUUUUUAUACAUAAUAAUAUAAAUUGUAUUUAAAUUGAAAAUGACCAUUUAUCAUAAAUAUAAUCCAUAAUCUACUAUAAAAAUAUUUAAAAAACCAAACUCUCGAAAUUAUCAAAACUAUUCAAAAAUUAUCUGAACAUUUUAUUGAAAAUAUUUAAAUUAUCUGAAUUAUCUAAUAUUUUUACUCUAACUAUCCAAACUUUAUGAUAUUUUAUCUAAAUUGACCCGAACUGUGGACUGGACUAAUUGAGCCUAUCCAAACCAUAUUUUUCCUCUUUAGAUGGAUCAUAAACUCCCCUAUCUGAACUAUCUAUACCCAAAAUAACCAAUCAAACAUAAUGGCCUAGAAAUGAUAGUGCACCUGCAUAGGUAACGCAUCCAUAUCAGCUCUUAGAGCGACGAACGGCGGUUCUCCCGUGCCGACAUAACCAAAAACGCCGGUGACAGCAACUGGAUACUUGUAGUUAACGCCCAUCAGGUCUAGCUCCGACCUAAUGAGUUUACUGGUCUCGAACUCCUCGAAACCCAGCUCCGGGUUCUCGUGGAGUUUCCUUCUGAUUCCCACCAUCCAAUCGAAAACCUCAGGACUCUUGGCGUACUCGAGGAACUUCGUUGGCCUUCGAGACGCAUCGUCGGUGAUCCAUGAAGAUUCAGAUGAAACAUGAAGUAGAAGGAGAAGCUGGAAAGUCAAACUGAAGAUCCAAAAGUUAUUGAUAGCCAUGGGAGCAAGAAGACAAGACAACAAAUCUCUAUUCAAUAGCUUGCUUUGUUGUAUUAAUGUAGAUGAGAGAGUAUGAGACUGUCACGAAUUCAUGAUAUUAUAUUAUUAUUAUACAAAACGUUUUUUAUUUGAUUGGAUUAAUUAAAAUAUUGGUUGUUGUUCUAUCGACUAUAAAGAAACAAAUAGUGUUUGGAGACUUUUGUAUGAUAACAUUUUGGAGCAUGAUUAAUGGGAUUUCCUAAGGUGGAAUUUUUAGAGAAAUAUAAGAAACUUUAAGAAACCCCAUUAAUCAUGCUCUUAACAUAAAACAAUGAUUUAGUUUAAUACAGUUAGACUUUUCGCUCUCUUGUCUUCACCACCAAGUGAGUAGUCACCUUAAAGCAAAGUUAUAUUGUUACAAAAUCAGUAAAUGACAUAAAUCUUAAUAUGUAACCAAAACAAAAAGGACUGGUCACAUUUAUUCAUAAAUCACAAUCAUAUGAUAUGUUGAGUGUGAGAAAGGUACAGAACAACACAUCUAAAAGAAACUAAGAUGUGUUUCACAAACUCUUACAAUUAUUUCACAACUGGCAUAAUUUUCAGGAACCCCUGAAUAUUUAUGAUGCCUGAAAGUUCUCAAACCAAAGCCUUUUCACUUCACUUAGUGAUCUCUUUAGUCACAGGAGGAAUAUGGACAACUCCGUUACAGAUUUCACUGUCAGGAGAAGGCGUCUCGUGCGUCUCUUUCUUCUGCUCAGAUAUAUUCUUAGGGCCCAAGAAACUUAGCUGAUUAGUAGAAGACAACAGCCUUGCCCACAUUCUAUCGGUAAUCACCACACUGUUCUGUUUCUCUGUUAUCCUCUGCACAAAAACAAAAAGAUCAAAUCAGGACUAAUCUGUCAGGAGUCCAUUGCAACAUCUCUAGUCACAAUUCAGAUUGAUUAGUAACUUACGUAGAAAGGGAUGUAUGUUUGUCUUCCAUGGACAAGACCACUGGUGUAGCCAGUGUAACCAGCCAUUGCACCAUGAACCGCGCUCUGAGCUAGAAGUGUACAGUAAACAUUGUCUGCCGCAUUGCUUGGAAUCGCCCUGAUCAUGUAUGUAGGAUCUAAAAGCAAGAAACAAAAACUAAGUUUAAAAGAAGAGUAAAUCUAACUACUUGAAAAAGGGGUUAUGAUUUUUGUUACCAAUAUAUUUGAGAUUCAUCACCAUCUUGAUCUUCUUGAAAUGAUCCUAUCACCAUUAAAUAAAGUAAAAAAAAAACAAUAUUCAUGAGGUUUCAUUGUAAUGGCAUAAGCGAAAGUGUUGAGUCUUUUUUUUUUCUUUUUUUUACCUUGAUGCUUUGUGAUAGCCACAAGCCGACAUCUUUAAGAACCUUGUUACCAGACGCGUCCUCAAGAGUAGUAGACUCCAUGCUUUUGGUCAUCAUUUCUUGUCCUGCUCCUUCGGCAAGAACAAUCACCAUGUGACCAUGCUCCUUGAGCCUUUUCUCUAUGUACUCAAAGAGUCCACCUUCUCCUUCCAGGUAAAAUGGUGACUCUGGAAUCAAGCAGCAAUCAACAUCUCUGCUUGCUAACGUAGCAUACAUCGCUAUAAAACCUGUAGUAUUUCAUCAAAUAGUCUAUAAUCAUUAAACUGUAACGUUUUUUUUUUGCUUAAAUCAUUAAACUGUAACGUUCAAAGCAAAACACACAAGAAGAGAAAAAACUUACCACUGUGACGACCCAUAAGCUUAACAAAACCGAUACCAUUCUCAUUACUCUCAGCUUCAACAUGUGCUGCGUUGAUCGCUCGCUGAGCUUCCUCCACAGCAGUGUCAAACCCAAAAGAUCUAUCUAUUACUGGUAUGUCGUUAUCGAUCGUCUUCGGGAUUCCAACCACAGCAACUUUAAGUCCACGCUUUCUGAUCUCCUACAUGGUUUCAACACAAAUCUUUAUUCAGCUAUUAAUUUAUUAAAGCUUACAACUUAAUUAAUAUUAUGUCGUAAUCACAAUGGCUAGCGUUAUUUUACCUCAAAUAUCUUCGAAGCUCCUCUCUGUGUUCCGUCUCCACCAAUGAUAUAAACCUGGUUGAUACCUCGCUCUUGGAUGCUAUCAACAAUCUUUUUGGUAUCAUGCCCACCUCGUGAGGUUCCCAAGAUUGUUCCUCCUCGUUUGUGGAUAUCGUUCACGACUUUAGAGGUUAAGGGGAUAGUGUUCUUUGCAUAGAAUCCUCUGUAUCCACCCUGUUACAUAUGAGAAUCAUUAGGACAAUAGCUGCGAUAUAUCAAACUGUAGACGAAGAGAUUAGUAUUAUGUUUUCACAAAACUUACAUCGAUUCCAAGGAUUCUUUUUACUCCGUACAUGUGAGACAAGCUGCUCACAAUUUCUCUAAUCACGGUAUUGAGGCCAGGACAGAGACCUCCACAUGUAACAAUACAAGCAUGGACUUCAUCUGACUCAAAGUAAACCUUUUGGCGUGGACCAGCGCGUCUGAAAUGGAUUCCUCUUGGACCAUCCUUGUGGACUAUAAUCUGAAUAACAAGAACAAAAAUAAAAAUAAAACAUUUUCCUCAAUAGUUUCUGAGUUAUACAUAAAUCAUCUAAACACCAUUUUCACGCAGUUAGGGUAAAAAGAAGGAUUGUGCUUGAUGAAAUUUACCUUCUCAGGUACAGUAUCCUCUGUAUCAACAAAGUAUUGCCUGACAAAACAAAAACCAAGAAAACCCAAAAUCAAAAACUAUGAAUCCUUAUUAAGCAAUGAAAACGUCUAAAGAUAGGUAAAAAAAUACUUACUUAACCACUGAGUAAGCUGGAUUGUCUUUUAAUGGAUUCUGAUAAGUCUGCAAGCAACAUAUACCGUCAAACAUAUCAAAAUUAUUGAACCCAAAGCAAAAGACUCAAUAUAAGAUAUGAUCUCUCUGUGAACUUUACAAAUCAAUAAGGCGACAAGCAGAGAUCCAAGUGUAACGUACAGGAAGAUCAGGAAGAUAAUCGAUGAGAUGAGGAACGUCUUGUAGUAUAUAACCACCGGGACCGUUGACGAUCUUCGGACUAGACAUAAUCAGAAGAUGUAAGAGAGUGAGAGACGAAGAACUUUUCUCGCUUUUUCUUAGACGGGUAAUCUGAUCAAACAGGUGGUUGGCCUCAAAUAAAACUUUUAAACAUGAGUGUGUGUGUGUAUGCAAUUGGGUACAGGAUUCUCGUGUAUAUAUAUGUAAAUGCAGGAAAAAAAGAACUUUCAAACUUGGAGAAGAUUAUUCACAUUAUUCUAGAACAGUUUUAAGUGUCCAUCAACGGACAUAGUUGACUUUGGGGUUUGGAGAAGUAAUUUAAGUUAACUAUUUGUAAAAUAGUAUUUUAUUCAUUCGUUUCAAAUAGUACCGCUUUUAACCUUUUAUGGGUUUUAAACAAAGAAAUAUUAAUUUGUCCAAAAAAAAAGCAAAGAAAUAUUAAUAUAUAAAAAUUUAUGAUUUAUUUUUAAUAAAUUUAUUACAAAAACUACGAAUUUUUUUUUCAAUCUAAUUUUCUUUAUAAUUAAUUUUUUUUAUUAUAAAAUAGUGUUUUUAACUAUUUAGUUUAUGUAGUAUGAGGUUGCGUCUUGACCGGUUCCACCUUUUGUCUUUUCUAAUCAGUAGGCCUGUUUCAAGGUUGAAGGAAUAUUCUGACGUUAAAGAAGCAUAAUCUCUUGAUUAAAAAAAGAAGACAAAUCAGAUUUGAUGUGCCGGCUGUCUCUAUUUUACGUUUGUAUAUUUGUUUAAUAGUUCUCGUAAAUCUUUUUGCCUUAUUUUUUUGGGAUGUCAUGUAUCAAGCAACUCUAUGCUGCUAACAAAGAGAUAAUCUUAUUUUAAUAUUUCUAAAAUUCAGAAAGAGUUGACGAAAGCCUAUAAAGUUCACAAUUCUAUUGCUUAUUCGUUUUAAACAAAUACAAAAUCAUUUGUAUAUAAUUAUUUUUGGAAACAACUCGUGUAUAAUUCAUUAAAAUAAAUUAUACACGUGAAACCAUAUGAAUCAUCGAGUGUUCUGGAAUCGAUUAUUCUGUUGAUGGUCAACUGAAACCAAUGAAACUGCUCAAAGAACCAGAAUAAAAUACUACAAGUGAAAAAUGUGUAUUAUUGUGGCCGUUUUUUUCUGUUUUCUACAUACCAUUUAUAAUAUACUUUUAUUGUUCUUUAAAAUAUAAAAAUUAAAAUAAAAGAAAAUUUAUUUCCUAAUUGUAGCAUUUCCAGUUUUUUGUUUAGACUUACAAUCUAGCUAAAUAAAGAGAAAUAUAUCUUCUACAUGAAGAUUAUGUACAAGGUUGAUUUUAAUAAUAAAGUUGCUGUUAGAAAAAAAAAAGAGAAAUAUAUCUUUCAAAACGUUUCAGAACACUAUAUUUUCCUAACAAACUUUGGGAAUAUGAAAAUAAUAAUAAAGUACAGAAUUAUAAAAUUUUGAUUUAUUAGAUAUUUAAAACCAACAGAGUGACUUUUACUAAUUACACUAAAGUCCAUAACAAAUAAUAUAUUGUCACCCUUUAGCUGAUUGGGUGGUUUCCAGGAUUUCUUAAAAAUGUGAUUCGCACAAAUCAUUAAAAAAAAAUCCUUGUGUGAUAUCAAAUGAAAAUCCUAGUGUUAUUUUACAAUCUUUUCAUUAUUGUUAUUUUAAUGUUAGACUGAAAGAUUUUUUAAGAAAAUUUAGAAAAGGCUAAAAAUGAAUUAAGUGUUCUAUUAUUUAUCAAACAAAUCUUUCCAUUUUCCUUGAACUUGAUUUGAGUUUCCAUUUAUUAAAAUGGAGUAUUAUUUUUCUCUUUUUUUCAAUUUAUCAUUUACCAACAUACGACGGUUUACCGUGAAAUACAAUAGUCUUUUUUUUUCUACAUACGACAGUUUGAUAGUUGUACUGACACGUGUCGUUCAUGUACAUCUAUUUGCGUAAAUGCCACUACUACCUCCACACACACACAAACACUUUAUAGUUUCAACUCAACUCUUAUCUCUGGAACAUUCUGAUUAACCACAGAAGAAGCAGAGCUAAGCAGACGAAGAUGUCGUGGCAGACCUACGUCGACGACCACUUGAUGUGCGAUCUCGGGGACGGGCAGCGCCUCACCGCCGCCGCAAUUAUCGGCCAAGACGGUAGCGUCUGGGCUCAGAGCGCAACUUUCCCUCAGGUUAGGGUUUGUUUCUUCAGCCACUGAUGUUUACUGAGUUUUCAUCGAGUUCCUAUAUGAAUAGAUUGAAUCAUUUUAGUUCAGAUCACAAGUUCAAAGCUUUACAAGCAGAAAGUUGCGACUUUGGACAUGAACAUGUGUUUUUUUUUUUAAAUGUGGUAUGAGUUUGGUCUCCUGAUUCUCAUACUGUUUUCUCACAAAGCUUCACAUGUGUUAACUUGUUUUAGUUGAAGUCUGAGGAAAUCGAAGGCAUCAACAAAGACUUCACCGAACCUGGAACACUUGCACCGACGGGAUUAUUCAUCAAUGGCGCAAAGUACAUGGUAAUCCAGGGAGAGCCAAACGCUGUGAUUCGAGGAAAGAAGGUAAACUUGAGUUGAUCUCGAUGAACCUUUUUUUUUCUUUUGUUGUUUUUAUGAACCAAUGUAAGUUUUUGCUUCUAUUGUAGGGGGCUGGUGGUGUUACCAUCAAGAAGACCACCCAAGCCUUAGUCUUUGGUAUCUAUGAGGAUCCAGUGACUCCUGGACAGUGCAAUAUGGUUGUGGAGAGGCUCGGUGACUACCUCAUUGAAUCAGGGCUCUGAAAUCUAACCUGAUGUUGCUCAUAUUAUAUUCUAGUUAAACUGUGAGAGAAAAUCUAUUUAUAUAUGUUGAAUGUGAUGAAUCAUUUAAAAGUCAGGCUGCCUUUUACUACCUACCAUGUGAUGAAUUGUAUGAUUCUUAAACUAUUGUCUUCAUGUGUCAGAGUUGAAAUUUUUAAUGAAUGGUGGUAUGGUACCAUUACAUUAGUUCUACAGAUUGAGAUUUUUUUUUUGUGAAUUGCAAUGAAGAUAGAUUCAGAUUAUAGACACAGGUAAUUCAACUGCACCAUGAGUUUUCAGAUAGAAUGUCUGUACAACAAGGCCACUUCAGGAAGAAAGAUAAAAUCUUUGUUGGUCACCAAGACCAAACCGUUGAGGAACAAAUGUUAUAUUUUCUUGCUAUUGCUACAUACAUCUAGAUCGUCGGCGCUUCUCCCGUAGCAGACUCCGACCUUGCACCGUUGCAACUGUCUGUAAACAAAAAAUGGGGGAAGAGAAGACAGAAUCAGUUGUUUUCUUUCCGACCAAAUUUGUAUUUUAGGAUCAGGAAUGAGGGUUUCAAGAACUGAGAUUGUAGCUCAAGUUCUACACAAGAAACUUAAAGGAAUCAAUGGAUUGAAGCUGAAGAUGGGGAAACUAGUGAAUGCUGAGCAAAAUACAGGCUUUUCUUUUUGAUAUCUGUCCAUAAAUACCGGAGAUAACCGAGGGAAUAUUUUUAAACCGUGCUUAGACUAAUGGGUCGAUUAAGGGCCCAUUUAAAUCUUACUAUGCCCGUCUUAUCUCCGUAAUUAAUUUUCCCGGUCUCACGCGUUCAAAAUAAUGUCCGUUACCACGAAGAAUCGUUUCUUCUCACUUUCUCUUUCUAAAAAAACUGCUUAUUUAGAGAGAGAGCCAAAGCGAAAGCGACAAUCCCUAGAUGGCGCCGAUGAAGCUCAAAUCAAACUUGAAGCAGCUUAAACUCUCCGUUCCAGCUCAAGAAACCCCAAUCUCUUCCUUCUUGUAAGUUCUCCCGAUUAGAAAUCGCACUUCUGAUUGAUUAUCAUCAAAUUUGCAUCGAUAAUAAGUUGGAUCCUGAACUUCCCGAUUGCACUACGAUAUUUUUUUUUUUUUUUGUGAUUUGAACCAUUUUUCUGGAUUUGAUCGAAUUCAAUUGAAAUCUCAAAAUGGAACUUGGUUUGUUUAAUUGGUGAAUUGCGUACAGGACUGCAAGUGGAACGUUUCACGAUGGAGAUUUUCUACUGAACCAGAAGGGGCGGAGGCUGAUCUCUGAUGAGAAGCAAUCAACGGUAACUUCGCUGACCUCAAACAUUAAUCCAUUGUUGUAUAGAAGAAAGCAAGUAAGGACAAUUCAUUGUGUGUGUUUUUGUUGUUAAUAGCCAUCUGAUAGCAAGGAGCUUGAUUUUGAAAUCACUGCUGAAGACUUGGAGACUGUGAAAGUCAUAGGAAAAGGCAGCGGCGGAGUUGUUCAGUUAGUUCGGCAUAAAUGGGCUGGCAAACUAUUUGCUAUGAAGGUACGUUCUCUUAUUUGAAUCUUCAAGAGUUUAUUAUCUGUUCUGUAAUGAGUUCAAGAGCAUUUGGGGGUUUGAGUUUGUUCAUUUUUUUUUUAUGAAUCACAGGUCAUACAGAUGAACAUACAAGAAGAAAUCCGAAAGCAAAUUGUGCAGGAGCUCAAGAUAAACCAAGCAUCGUCUCAGUGUCCACAUGUGGUUGUCUGCUACCACUCUUUCUAUCACAAUGGAGCCUUUUCCCUUGUGCUUGAGUAUAUGGACCGUGGAUCUCUUGCGGAUGUGAUUCGACAAGUGAAGACUAUUCUCGAGCCUUACCUUGCUGUUGUCUGUAAACAGGUCCAAUUGAAACGUCCUAUACUCCACCAAAUGGUUUAAAGCAUUCUCAUGAUUUAACACGCUUUACUUAUUUUCCCCCCUCUUGUAUACAGGUUUUGCAAGGACUUGUGUACCUUCACAACGAAAGACAUGUCAUACACAGAGACAUUAAACCAUCAAACCUUCUUGUCAACCAUAAAGGAGAAGUCAAAAUCUCAGAUUUUGGUGUCAGUGCAAGUCUUGCUAGCUCCAUGGGACAGAGGGACACCUUUGUUGGAACCUACAACUAUAUGUC
rnacentral:lncRNA from 1 species